ACAAACACACCACCACCACACGAACUGGAGUCUUCUCAGUCCUCGCACUCCGCAGAAGCGCAGAGGCUCCUAAACCCCCUCCUAGACCCCGCUGCCGCUUGCCAGCCACUCUCCUCCGCGUCGCUCUCCGCCGUCUCCCCGGACGUCCCGGAACCUUCUAGAUUGAUUGAAGGGGGGAUAUAGCCAUCGGCGUCAGCGCGCGUGAUGGAGGUCAGGGGGCUGGGGCAGCUCCUGGCGGCGCUGGCCGCCGCGUUCUUCGUCCGCGCCAUCGCGGGACCGGGCCCUGCCCUACUUCCGCCGGCGGAGGACACGGACGACGACGAGGCCGGCGAGGGAGGCGGCGGCGGUGGCGUGCCGCCCGUGACCAUCCGGUGGGCCCGCAUCACCUGCGCGCUGAUGAACAAGCGCGGGGAAGUGGCAAGGUUCCUGCUGUCAAAUGUGUCAGGGAAGGCGAAACCGGGGAGGCUGUUAGCACUCAUGGGACCGUCGGGCUCUGGCAAAACAACUCUGCUCAAUGUGCUAGCAGGGCAGCUCACGGCAUCGUCUUCCUUGCACCUUUCCGGGUUUCUGUAUGUCAAUGGUCGGCCCGUCUCGAAGGGCGGAUAUAAGAUUGCCUUUGUCAGGCAGGAAGACCUGUUCUUCUCGCAGCUUACUGUGCGGGAGACGCUGUCACUUGCUGCUGAGCUCCAGCUUCCUGACUUGUGGACUCCUGAGAGGAAGGAGAGCUAUGUCAAUGAUCUUUUGUUUCGUCUGGGAUUGGUCAAUUGUGCUGAUUCUAUCGUUGGUGAUGCAAAAGUUCGUGGAAUAAGUGGGGGUGAGAAGAAGCGCCUAUCACUUGCAUGUGAACUGAUUGCUAGCCCUUCAGUCAUCUUUGCGGACGAACCAACAACAGGCCUUGAUGCCUUCCAAGCUGAGAAGGUCAUGGAGACUCUUCGUCAGCUUGCUGAGGAUGGGCACACUGUUAUCUGUUCGAUACACCAGCCAAGAGGUUCAGUCUAUGGCAAAUUUGAUGACAUCGUACUACUGUCAGAUGGAGAAAUUGUAUACAUGGGGCCUGCAAAAGAAGAACCUCUAACAUACUUUGCAUCAUUAGGGUAUCAGUGUCCAGAUCAUAUGAACCCUGCUGAGUUCUUGGCUGAUCUCAUUUCCAUUGAUUAUGGAUCAACUGAAAGUGUACAGUCAUCACAGAAAAGGAUUGAGAACCUCAUUGAGGCAUUUUCUAACAAAGAUCUGGUCACUGAAGGUAGCAGUUUAGUUGCAACUCCAGAGGAUCCAGAAUUGUCUGCCAAACUUGUUCGGAAGACUACAAUGAAGAAACGGCAUGGUUGGUGGAGGCAAUUUCGUUUGCUUUUUAAGCGAGCAUGGAUGCAGGCUUUUCGUGAUGGACCAACAAACAAAGUGAGAGCACGGAUGUCUGUUGCUUCAGCAGUUAUAUUUGGAUCUGUGUUCUGGCGAAUGGGAAAAUCUCAAACAUCCAUACAAGACAGGAUGGGACUACUUCAGGUGACAGCCAUAAACACAGCAAUGGCUGCACUGACAAAGACUGUGGGCGUUUUUCCAAAAGAACGGACUAUAGUUGACAGAGAACGAGCAAAAGGUUCCUAUGCACUUGGACCAUAUCUUUCAUCUAAGUUGUUGGCCGAGAUUCCCAUUGGAGCAGCAUUUCCAUUGAUAUUUGGAUCAAUUCUCUAUCCAAUGGCUAAACUUCAGCCAACAUUUUCUAGAUUUGCCAAAUUCUGUGGUAUUGUGACUGUUGAGUCAUUUGCUGCAUCAGCGAUGGGUCUCACUGUUGGAGCAAUGGCUCCUACAACUGAAGCUGCAAUGGCUCUUGGGCCAUCCCUUAUGACAGUGUUUAUUGUAUUUGGAGGAUACUAUGUUAACCCUGACAAUACUCCAGUCAUAUUUCGUUGGAUCCCAAGAAUAUCUCUCAUUAGAUGGGCCUUUCAAGGGCUUUGCAUUAACGAGUUCAAGGGUCUGCAAUUUGAGCAACAACAUUCAUAUGACAUUCAAACGGGUGAACAGGCCUUGGAAAGGUUUUCAUUGGGAGGAAUUAGAAUCGCAGACACUCUAGUUGCACAGGGUAGGAUUCUGAUGUUCUGGUACUGGUCAACCUACCUUCUUCUGAAGAAAAACAGACCGAAGUAUCAGCCGCUCCUGCCCCCAUUGGAAGAAGAUCAAAAUAAGCAGCAGGUGGAAUAAGCAUUUGGUUACAGACUUCCAAAGAAUAAAAUAAGUUUGAGCUGAUGCUCGUCGCACAUCGUUGGUUACUUGGCUGGCUGGAUCACAAUGAUAACUGAAAACCCAUCUUAAGCUCUGUCGUUUGUUUAGUAUAUAUCACAAGUCAGAACGAGGCCUCAUCUUCUCUGCACAGAGUAUCUGGUUAUGAGAGGACCCCAGCAUUAUGGACGUGCCGAGGCAGUCUGGCAGUAUACAAUCCGCCGCCCAGAAGCAAUUUUUUAUUUUCCCAAUUGGCCAAUUGUUGAAGUCAGCUCAAUGAUCUGAGAUGAGAUCGCAGCAGAGCCGUUGUUUCUGUUCAUGAUUGCCUGGAGCUGGCCGGCUGGGGCCAUGACGGUGCAAAUAAACUAUCUCCAAAUCACCGUCCAAAGUACGAGCACGGCAUAAUGGCAGUAGCUACUAGUUUCUUAUGCUUUAAUCUCUGUACGUGUCAGCCUCCGGUUGGCCGGAGUGAGAUAACUAAUCACGCGUCAGCGUACACCUCAGACGCGUGAAGCCCCAUGCCUAUAAAUGCGUGCCCAUUUGGGCUCAAAAUUCUCAUCAGCUUCGAUUGGAAUUCUUCCUCCCUUUCCCUCGAA